rnacentral:rRNA from 1 species
GGACUACUGGGGUAUCUAAUCCGGUUCGCUCCCCACGCUUUCGCGCCUCAGCGUCAGUUAGAGCCCAGCGAGCCGCCUUCGCCACUGGUGUUCCUCCGGAUCUCUACGCAUUUCACCACUACACCCGGAAUUCCACUCGCCUCUGCUCCACUCCAGCACGCCAGUCCCCACGGCCCUCGCCUAGUUAAGCCAGGCGCUUUCACCAUGGACUUAGCGCACCGCCUGCGCGCCCUUUACGCCCAAUAACUCCGGACAACGCUUGCCACCUACGUCUUACCGCGGCGGCUGGCAC